AAUCUACAAAGUUUUCGAAAAGCAUAGGUCCUUCCCGUCUCCUUCACUUCACUGGUAAAUCGAAUUCCUUUACGCAAAACUAAAGUCUUUAAAUUCUCAAAUGGUGUUCUCCUCAUCUUCUACAAUCCAAAGAAAAUAAUUGGGUUACAGAGAAAAAUGGCAAUGCCGUGGAGCAUCGUUUUAUGGAUGGCAGAGAUGGUGUGGUUGGCUUUUGCGGGCUGGGUCUCUUCUUGCUUGACUGUUGCUGAUGAGCUUGCUAGGUCUCUGCAGAACGGCGAUAUCGGUGUCUUCCAUGCUGGAUGAUCAUACAAUUGAAUGCUAUCUGAAGAGGAAAGUGGCGAUCUGAAAGCCAUUUUUAUUAGAUUCAUCAAUGAAUGCUCUCUGCUGCUCUUCCCAAUUUAUUACUAAAUUGCCGCUCAACAUCAUUUUAGCCUUGUAACCUUAGCCUUAGGGCAUCUAUUAGACAAGAAUAUGUAUGGCUUGGUCUUUUUGAUGCAACUUGAGGAAUUGUGAAACCAUUGUAAAAUUGUCAGUUUUAUAUAGCGAAAGAAGAAAAUCAUGUAUCUCCAA